UUGCUGGUAACAUCUGAGUCUUAACUUCCUCAUCUCUAAACUAAGGACAUUCCCCAGGGUUUGUGAUGAAAGGAGGAGCUGAUGAGCACAGUGCAUCUGCAUAUGGUGGUGCUUGAUAAAUGCAGGAGACUCUCUCUUCCCAGAACAGUUGCCUGGCACACUGUCUAAAAUGUGACUCCCUUGUGUUUUGAAAAAGAUGGUGUCUCCACUGAAAGGACAGCACACAAUAAUGGGACUUUUGGCUUGGAGUUGCUGGCUGAAUAACAAAUCUUCACUGGUGAAAAAUGAAUCCAUACAACCUGCUCUGUAUCAAAACUCAUAAAACUGUGUUUGUAGCUACUAAAAAACAUGAAGAGGAUGUUCUGGUGGCAACCAUACCAGGCUGAGAACGUUUAUUGUUGAUUUGGGCAAAUGGAUAAGGAAUCUUGGAGCCUUAGCCUCUUCAGGGUGAAGCAUGGAAGGAGACACAUCUAACCAGAAAAGGACUGACAAGUGAGAAGACAUAUGCCAUUUGCUUUGAGAGACAUUCAUUCCAACAUAUCCAGAUUGGAGAAGAGUGGCCACUAAUUUUUCUUACUAGAAAUGUAAAAAAAAAAAAAAAAGGC